AGCUUUGCACAGUGGCAGUAUUGUAGCCAAUGAGGUUUAUCCGAGGUACAGUUAUUGCUGAUUGAAAACUGAUUAGAGGACCACAAGAUAAAGGUGAAGAUAAAAAGAGAUCUCAGAUGUCAUCUCUCUGAUUUAAAUUACAGACUAAAUAAGUAA
rnacentral:snRNA from 1 species